GAUAAAUAACAAAUUUAAAAAAUAAUUCCUCGUUUUUUUCGAAUCUAAUUAAAGCAACUAAGAAAUUUGCAGUCGACCUUACAUUUUGUUAUGCCAAACAACCGCACUCAGAAUUUUAAGAUACAAUAUAUGUAUCUCAUAUUAAUCGAUAUACAGUAUACAGAUCAGUCACGACAAAGAAUAUGGGUAUAUGAAGGUUGGAUCAGAGUUACUACAUAUAAGGAGCAUUAUUUCGAUAUUUAUUAUAAAUUCUAAAAAUUUACCAAGAGGAUAAAAUGUGAAUGUUGCGAACAACAUAGUCAAAAUCGGUGAUUUCGGCAAUUUUUUUAAGUCUUCAGAAAUAAAGAAGGCUUGAUGAGAGAUUUGGAAAUUUCGUGUGUGAAAUUGCAGCGAUUGUACAAAUCCUGUUUAAUGAUAGGAAAAUGUUUUCAGGGACGGGACGAGUUAAGGGUAUUCUCUCCAGUUGCUCUCACCAUUUCGGACGCCAACUUAUGUUAAUCUUAAUUUUUCAAUUAAUUUUACAUCUACUCAUGAAUGGAACGUUUUAUAAUUAUUAAAAACAAAUUUUAUGCAAAGAUAAA
rnacentral:lncRNA from 1 species